GACGAACGCUGGCGGCGUGCUUAACACAUGCAAGUCGAACGGAAAGGCCCUGCUUUUGUGGGGUGCUCGAGUGGCGAACGGGUGAGUAACACGUGAGUAACCUGCCCUUGACUUUGGGAUAACUUCAGGAAACUGGGGCUAAUACCGGAUAGGAGCUCCUGCUGCAUGGUGGGGGUUGGACAGUUUCGGCGGUUGGGGAUGGACUCGCGGCUUAUCAGCUUGUUGGUGGGGUAGUGGCUUACCAAGGCUUUGACGGGUAGCCGGCCUGAGAGGGUGACCGGCCACAUUGGGACUGAGAUACGGCCCAGACUCCUACGGGAGGCAGCAGUGGGGAAUAUUGCACAAUGGGCGGAAGCCUGAUGCAGCAACGCCGCGUGCGGGAUGACGGCCUUCGGGUUGUAAACCGCUUUCGCCUGUGACGAAGCGUGAGUGACGGUAAUGGGUAAAGAAGCACCGGCUAACUACGU
rnacentral:rRNA from 1 species